GAGUAAGAGAGCCAGGCGCCCAAGGGGCAAUUGAGGCCGGAUUUGGUCCCCUGACUGGCGCCUGUGGAGCUGAGGGCGCUGCGGGCGGGAUCGCGGGGUAGGGCCGGCGCCAGGCCUUCAAGUCAAACCACUGACGGGUGCCGUUAAGACCCGCGCUCGAGCGCCCACCCCAAAUCUCGAGACGUGCGGGUCGCGGGCGGCCGGCCCUGGCCCGAGAGCUCGCUCUUGUUCCCGCGGGAUCUCAAGCUGGCGUGAGGCCGAGCCGGCCUGGGCCGGGCAUCCCCUGGCACAGCCUGCGGGCCUGUCCGGGAAGCUGUUGCGACACUCGGGCGGUGGCCUGUUAGACUCGGGUCGAGUCUGGAGUGUUGGCUUUCCAAGCCGUGGGCUAGCUAACUCCUGAGGACCCGGAGCUCCUCAGGCCCCAGCGCCCCGCGCUGGGCUUGCACCUGAAGUCGCCCAGUACACCCCGCAGUUGUUGAAUGAAUGAGUUCUUCGGGGGCCCGCGGUCGCUGGGCCCUGCGCCAGACUGAGAGCUGGGGGCGGGGAAGGGAGAUGUCGAAAUGGGGCAGGAUGAUUCAGAGAUGACGACAGGUGGAGAAGCCAGACUGGAGGCAGCUGCCCAAGCACAGCAGGAAAAGUAUAUGGGGAAGUUCGGACGUACAGCUUGUCGCUGAGUGACGCAAUGAUGAACCUACCGCCUGGUGAUAACUGCCUUUUGUGAUAAGACCCCUCUCCCUCCUGGACAGGGACAUUGUAGGAUUGUUCUUCCCACCUCCUUGAAGAUAGGCAUGGCUGUGAGAUUUGCUUUGACCAAUGAAAUGUGAGAGAAGCAUGAGAGCCACACAUUAACUUCCCCUGCCACAUGACUGGUGAUGUUCAGAUGGUGGGAGCACCAUCAGUCUGGGGCCCUGGUAAGGAUGAUGAAGCAGAGUUGCCUACUUGCCACACCUUUCUUCCCAGGUGGACUUUCAGCAUGAGUAAGAAAUAAAUCGAUGUUGUUUUCAGACACAGAUUUUAGGAUUAGUCCAUAUCAUAGCAUAAUCUAG
rnacentral:lncRNA from 1 species